rnacentral:rRNA from 1 species
UACGAAGGGGGCUAGCGUUGCUCGGAAUCACUGGGCGUAAAGCGCACGUAGGCGGGUUGUUAAGUCGGGGGUGAAAUCCUGGAGCUCAACUCCAGAACUGCCUUCGAUACUGGCGACCUUGAGUCCGGGAGAGGUGAGUGGAACUCCGAGUGUAGAGGUGAAAUUCGUAGAUAUUCGGAAGAACACCAGUGGCGAAGGCGGCUCACUGGCCCGGUACUGACGCUGAGGUGCGAAAGCGUGGGGGGCAAACAGG